rnacentral:rRNA from 1 species
UGGGGGAUAUUGCACAAUGGGCGAAAGCCUGAUGCAGCGACGCCGCGUGGGGGAUGAAGGCCUUCGGGUUGUAAACUUCUUUUGCUCUGAACAAGGCAUGCCUUUGGGGUGUGUUGAGUGUAGGGGUUGAUUAGCGCCGGCUAACUACGUGCCAGCAGCCGCGGUAAUACGUAGGGCGCGAGCGUUGUCCGGAAUUAUUGGGCGUAAAGGGCUUGUAGGUGGCUGGUUGCGUCUGUCGUGAAAGCUCAUGGCUUAACUGUGGGUUUGCGGUGGGUACGGGCUGGCUUGAGUGCAGUAGGCGAGGCUGGAAUUCCUGGUGUAGCGGUGGAAUGCGCAGAUAUCAGGAGGAAUACCGGUGGCGAAGACGGGUCUCUGGGCUGUUACUGACGCUGAGGAGCGAAAGCGUGGGGAGCGAACAGG